UAGCUCAGUUGGUAGAGCAGUUGACUUUUAAUCAAUUGGUCGCAGGUUCGGGUCUCACGUAGUGAGACAACGGAGCCGCUUGCGGCGACGGCCCGAAGGGCGAGCGAAGCGAGUCAUCCUGCACGACCCACCA
rnacentral:tRNA from 2 species